rnacentral:rRNA from 1 species
GGGUGAGUAAAGUAUCGGAACGUACCUUUCAGUGGGGGAUAACGUAGCGAAAGUUACGCUAAUACCGCAUAUUCUGUGAGCAGGAAAGCAGGGGAUCGCAAGACCUUGCGCUGAUUGAGCGGCCGAUAUCAGAUUAGCUAGUUGGUGAGGUAAAGGCUCACCAAGGCGACGAUCUGUAGCGGGUCUGAGAGGAUGAUCCGCCACACUGGAGCUGAGACACGGUCCAGACUCCUACGGGAGGCAGCAGUGGGGAAUUUUGGACAAUGGGGGCAACCCUGAUCCAGCCAUGCCGCGUGAGUGAAGAAGGCCUUCGGGUUGUAAAGCUCUUUCGGCCGGGAAGAAAUCGUAUGGGUUAAUACCCUGUGCGGAUGACGGUACCGGCAUAAGAAGCACCGGCUAACUACGUGCCAGCAGCCGCGGUAAUACGUAGGGUGCGAGCGUUAAUCGGAAUUACUGGGCGUAAAGCGUGCGCAGGCGGUUUUGUAAGACAGGCGUGAAAUCCCCGGGCUCAACCUGGGAACUGCGCUUGUGACUGCAAGGCUAGAGUAUGGCAGAGGGGGGUGGAAUUCCACGUGUAGCAGUGAAAUGCGUAGAGAUGUGGAGGAACACCAAUGGCGAAGGCAGCCCCCUGGGCCAAUACUGACGCUCAUGCACGAAAGCGUGGGUAGCAAACAGGAUUAGAUACCCUGGUAGUCCACGCCCUAAACGAUGUCAACUAGGUGUUGGGUGGGUAAAACCAUUUAGUACCGGAGCUAACGCGUGAAGUUGACCGCCUGGGGAGUACGGCCGCAAGGUUAAAACUCAAAGGAAUUGACGGGGACCCGCACAAGCGGUGGAUGAUGUGGAUUAAUUCGAUGCAACGCGAAAAACCUUACCUACCCUUGACAUGUCCAGGAGCCUGAAGAGAUUUGGGUGUGCCCGAAAGGGAACUGGAACACAGGUGCUGCAUGGCUGUCGUCAGCUCGUGUCGUGAGAUGUUGGGUUAAGUCCCGCAACGAGCGCAACCCUUGUCGUUAAUUGCCAUCAUUUAGUUGGGCACUUUAACGAGACUGCCGGUGACAAACCGGAGGAAGGUGGGGAUGACGUCAAGUCCUCAUGGCCCUUAUGGGUAGGGCUUCACACGUCAUACAAUGGUCGGUACAAAGGGUUGCCAACCUGCGAGGGGGAGCCAAUCCCAGAAAGCCGAUCGUAGUCCGGAUCGCAGGCUGCAACUCGCC